AGGCAAUUCUGAAAGCUGCCAUCUGCCCUUGCAUCUCCUCAGACCUAUACCACUUUGUGCUGCCUGCAGGAGAUCUGUUUGUCUGAAAGACGUUUUCAAUCACACUGGGUUUUACAGAAGGUAAAAUCUCAAUGUUCAGCUCUACUUCACGACUUCACCUCUUCACAACAGAAAGUGCUAACACAGUGCAACAGGGCUCAGAGUCUGAAAGGUUCAGUGAGUGCAUCGAGCUCCCAUAGAAGAAUUUGCAUCUUGGUGUCCAGAACACACUUCAGAAACUAAAAUGAGAAAUGUGACCUUGUAUUAUAAACUGUCUGGGGAUCUUAAGUAUAUAUUAGCCUGAACCUAAUGACUAGAAGCACUACAGAACUUUACCUAUUCCAAACUCAGCAGCACUUUGCUUACAUUACCUGCAAAUUCAUAAUCUCUUUAGUUUUCUAUUUUUUUCAAAUGGAUGACUUUACAGUGAGAAAAAAUCACAAGGAAGAAAUACUUUACUCCUUCCACUUCUGUGUAAGCAAGUAUUUUACUUA